AGAGGAGAUAACUUAACUCGAUGCAUAUCUGUCAUGAGGAGAAGAGAGAGGAAGCCUGCUAUUGUGAUUUUGCUUCAAUUGGAUUCCGACCAAGGUCACCAUGGAGGGAUCAAAAAACUGAGUGCUCAGGAGGUACCAGUUGGUCAACGAUAAUGAACCCCAAUUCAUGCACAUUCUAUUAUUGGUCCUUGUUCUCCAAGAUCCGCAAAGCAUGCACAAGAGGAUUCCGUCAAAAUCGAGGAGCGGGGAGCCAUCUUUCUGUAGCGCCGUAAGGACUUCCAAUGCCGAGGGCAUGGUUCCUGAGUUGUUCUCACUCAUCUCCCUGAUGGUAUCCAUCAGUUUGUGUUGGUCCUGGUGGCACCAUGUGUUGUACUUCUUGGGCCUCUUGGACCUCUUGGUGGAGGUGUCGUUGGUGUCGCCAUCCUCAGGUGAGUCACCGGGGUUGGUGUCGCCAUCCUCAGGUGAGU